UUAGCUCAGUUGGUAGAGCAUCUGACUUUUAAUCAGAGGGUCGAAGGUUCGAGUCCUUCA
rnacentral:tRNA from 2 species